GAUGAACGCUGGCGGCGUGCCUAAUACAUGCAAGUCGAGCGAACAGACGAGGAGCUUGCUCCUCUGACGUUAGCGGCGGACGGGUGAGUAACACGUGGAUAACCUACCUAUAAGACUUGGAUAACUUCGGGAAACCGGAGCUAAUACCGGAUAACAUGUUGAACCGCAUGGUUCAACAGUGAAAGACGGUUUUGCUGUCACUUAUAGAUGGAUCCGCGUCGCAUUAGCUAGUUGGUAAGGUAACGGCUUACCAAGGCAACGAUGCGUAGCCGACCUGAGAGGGUGAUCGGCCACACUGGAACUGAGACACGGUACAGACUCCUACGGGAGGCAGCAGUAGGGAAUCUUCCGCAAUGGGCGAAAGCCUGACGGAGCAACGCCGCGUGAGUGAAGAAGGUCUUCGGAUCGUAAAACUCUGUUAUUAGGGAAGAACAAAUGUGUAAGUAACUAUGCACGUCUUGACGGUACCUAAUCAGAAAGCCACGGCUAACUACGUG
rnacentral:rRNA from 1 species